UAGGGAAUCUUCGGCAAUGGGGGGAACCCUGACCGAGCAACGCUGCGUGAGUGAAGAAGGUUUUCGGAUCGUAAAGCUCUGUUGUUAAGGAAGAACGAGUGUGAGAAUGGAAAGUUCAUACUGUGACGGUACUUAACCAGAAAGGGACGGCUAACUACGUGCCAGCAGCCGCGGUAAUACGUAGGUCCCGAGCGUUGUCCGGAUUUAUUGGGCGUAAAGCGAGCGCAGGCGGUCAAUUAAGUCUGAUGUGAAAGCCCCCGGCUCAACCGGGGAGGGUCAUUGGAAACUGGUUGACUUGAGUGCAGAAGAGGAGAGUGGAAUUCCAUGUGUAGCGGUGAAAUGCGUAGAUAUAUGGAGGAACACCAGUGGCGAAGGCGACUCUCUGGUCUGUAACUGACGCGGAGGCUCGAAAGCGUGGGUAGCAAACAGG
rnacentral:rRNA from 1 species